rnacentral:rRNA from 1 species
AUGAACGCUGGCGGCGUGCCUAAUCCAUGCCAGUCGAGCGAACGGACGAGAAGCUUGCUUCUCUGAUGUUAGCGGCGGACGGGUGAGUAACACGUGGAUAACCUACCUAUAAGACUGGGAUAACUUCGGGAAACCGGAGCUAAUACCGGAUAAUAUUUUGAACCGCAUGGUUCAAAAAUGAAAGACGGUCUUGCUGUCACUUAUAGAUGGAUCCGAGCUGCAUUAGCUAGUUGGUAAGGUAACGGCUUACCAAGGCAACGAUGCAUAGCCGACCUGAGAGGGUGAUCGGCCACACUGGAACUGAGACACGGUCCAGACUCCUACGGGAGGCAGCAGUAGGGAAUCUUCCGCAAUGGGCGAAAGCCUGACGGAGCAACGCCGCGUGAGUGAUAAAGGUCUUCGGAUCGUAAAACUCUGUUAUUAGGGAAGAACAUAUGUGUAAGUAACUGUGCACAUCUUGACGGUACCUAAUCAGAAAGCCACGGCUAACUACGUG